GUCGAACGGCAGCACAGCAGUAGCAAUACUGUGGGUGGCGAGUGGCGGACGGGUGAGGAAUACAUCGGGACCUGCCCAGACGUGGGGGAUAACGUAGGGAAACUUACGCUAAUACCGCAUACGUCCUACGGGAGAAAGCGGGGGAUCAGCAAUGACCUCGCGCGGUUGGAUGGACCGAUGUUCGAUUAGCUUGUUGGUGGGGUAAUGGCCUACCAAGGCGACGAUCGAUAGCUGGUCUGAGAGGAUGAUCAGCCACACUGGGACUGAGACACGGCCCAGACUCCUACGGGAGGCAGCAGUGGGGAAUAUUGGACAAUGGGCGCAAGCCUGAUCCAGCAAUGCCGCGUGUGUGAAGAAGGCCUUCGGGUUGUAAAGCACUUUUAUCAGGAGCGAAAUACCACGGGUUAAUACCCUAUGGGGCUGACGGUACCUGAGGAAUAAGCACCGGCUAACUUCGUGCCAGCAGCCGCGGUAAUACGAAGGGUGCAAGCGUUAAUCGGAAUUACUGGGCGUAAAGCGUGCGUAGGUGGUUUUUUAAGUCUGCUGUGAAAUCCCCGGGCUCAACCUGGGAAUGGCAGUGGAUACUGGAAAGCUAGAGUGUGAGAGAGGAUGGUGGAAUUCCCGGUGUAGCGGUGAAAUGCGUAGAGAUCGGGAGGAACAUCAGUGGCGAAGGCGGCCAUCUGGCUCAACACUGACACUGAGGCACGAAAGCGUGGGGAGCAAACAGGAUUAGAUACCCUG
rnacentral:rRNA from 1 species